GAAACUAACAAGGAUUCCCCUAGUAACUGCGAGUGAAGCGGGAAAAGCUCAAAUUUAAAAUCUGAUAGUCUUUGGCUGUCCGAGUUGUAGUCUGGAGAAGCGUCUUCCGCGUUGGACCGUGUACAAGUCUCCUGGAACGGAGCGUCAUAGAGGGUGAGAAUCCCGUCUUUGACACGGACUACCAGUGCUUUUGUGAUGCGCUCUCAAAGAGUCGAGUUGUUUGGGAAUGCAGCUCAAAAUGGGUGGUAAACUCCAUCUAAAGCUAAAUAUUGGCGAGAGACCGAUAGCGAACAAGUACCGUGAGGGAAAGAUGAAAAGCACUUUGGAAAGAGAGUUAAACAGUACGUGAAAUUGCUGAAAGGGAAACGCUUGAAGUCAGUCGCGUUUGCUAGGACUCAGCCUUGCUUCGGCUUGGUGCACUUCCUAGUAGACGGGCCAGCAUCACUUUUGGCUGCGGGAAAAAGAUCAGAGGAAUGUGGCACCUUCGGGUGUGUUAUAGCCUCUGGUUGUAUACCGUGGCUGGGAGUGAGGAUCUCAGCACGCCUUUAUGGCGGGGCUUCGGCCACCUUCGUGCUUAGGAUGCUGGCGUAAUGGCUUUAAACGACCCGUCUUGAAACACGGACCAAGGAGUCUAACAUGCCUGCGAGUGUUUGGGUGGAAAACCCGAGCGCGUAAUGAAAGUGAAAGUUGGGACCUCUGUCGUGGAGGGCACCGACGCCCGGACCAGACCUUCGGUGACGGAUCUGCGGUAGAGCAUGUAUGUUGGGACCCGAAAGAUGGUGAACUAUGCCUGAAUAGGGUGAAGCCAGAGGAAACUCUGGUGGAGGCUCGUAGCGAUUCUGACGUGCAAAUCGAUCGUCAAAUUUGGGUAUAGGGGCGAAAGACUAAUCG
rnacentral:rRNA from 1 species